rnacentral:rRNA from 1 species
GAUGAACGCUGACAGAAUGCUUAACACAUGCAAGUCAACUUGAAUUUGGGUUUUUAACCUAGGUUUGGGUGGCGGACGGGUGAGUAACGCGUAAAGAACUUGCCUCACAGCUAGGGACAACAUUUGGAAACGAAUGCUAAUACCUAAUAUUAUGAUAAUAGGGCAUCCUAUAAUUAUGAAAGCUAUAAGCGCUGUGAGAGAGCUUUGCGUCCCAUUAGCUAGUUGGAGAGGUAACGGCUCACCAAGGCGAUGAUGGGUAGCCGGCCUGAGAGGGUGAUCGGGCACAAGGGGAAUGAGAAACGGGCCUUAAUGCUACGGGAAGGAGGAGUGGGGAAUAAUGGAAAAAGGACCGAGAGGCUGAAGCAGCAAUUCUGUGUGCACGAUGAAGUUUUUCGGAAUGUAAAGUGCUUUCAGUUGGGAAGAAACAAAUGACGGUACCAACAGAAGAAGUGACGGCUAAAUACGUG